rnacentral:tRNA from 2 species
GUCCUCGUAGUUCAAUGGAUAGAACAGAAGGUUUCUAACCUUCUAAUGUAGGUUCGAUUCCUACCGGGGACACAA